rnacentral:rRNA from 1 species
GGUCAAGCGAAUACAAGUUUGCGGGGGAUGCCUUGGAGCUAUCAGGCGACGAAGGCCGUGGUAAGCUGCGAAAAGCCACGGGGAGGAGCAAACAUCCUUAGAUCCGUGGGUGGCCGAAUGGGGUAACCCGAACGUCUUUGAAAUGGCGUUCAUCCGGGCGUGAAUACAUAGCGCACGGAAGCGAUACCGGGGGAACUGAACCAUCUAAGUACCCCGAGGAAGAGACAUCAACCGAGAUUUCCUGAGUAGUGGCGAACGAAACGGAAAUAGCCCAAACCCGGUGUAUGCAAGGCUUACACCGUUGUACACCGGGGGUUGUAGGGCCUUGUUUUGGUCGGGUGUAGGACCGACCGCGGAGUUACCAAUCAAUCGUAUAGGAGAAUGCUACUGGGAAGGGCAACCAAAGAGGGUGAAAGUCCCGUAUCCGAAAUGCGAUUGACUCCGUGACAGGGUACCUGAGUACGGCGGGACACGUGAAAUCUUGCCGGAACCUGGGAGGACCACCUUCCAAGGCUAAACACUAGAUAGCUACCGAUAGUGGACAAGUACCGUGAGGGAAAGGUGAAAAGUACCCCGAGAGGGGAGUGAAAUAGAACCUGAAACCGCAAACUUACAAGCGGUCAAAGGGAGACCUUGUGUCUCCUGAUGGCGUGCCUUUUGUAGAAUGAACCGGCGAGUUACGCUGCGCAGCAAGGUUAAGGUACUUGAGUACCGGAGCCGUAGGGAAACCGAGUCUGAAUAGGGCGAAUGAGUUGCGUGGAGUAGACCCGAAGCCGAGCGAUCUAGCCAUGGCCAGGCUGAAGCGUUGGUAACACACCGUGGAGGGCCGAACGGUAGUCUGUUAAAAAAGGCACCGAUGAGCUGUGGCUAGGAGUGAAAGGCUAAACAAGCUCGGAGAUAGCUGGUACUCCCCGAAAUAGCUUUAGGGCUAGCCUCACCUUAGUGUGACGGAGGUAGAGCACUGAAUGGACUAGGGCCCUUCACCGGGUACCAAACCCAAUCAAACUCCGAAUGCCGUUAUAUGUUGGGUGGGAGUCAGACUACGGGCGAUAAGGUCCGUGGUCGAGAGGGAAACAGCCCAGACCGUCGACUAAGGUCCCCAAGUCAGGCUAAGUGGAAAAGGAAGUGUAAUUGCAAAGACAGCCAGGAGGUUGGCUUAGAAGCAGCCAUCCCUUGAAAGAGUGCGUAACAGCUCACUGGUCAAGUAGUUAUGCGCCGACGAUGUAACGGGGCUAAGUCUGACACCGAAGUCACGGGAUUCAUGAGCCCGGUGGCCUUGUGCCGCCGCAUCUCAUGGAUCGGUAGGGGAGCGUUCUGUGUGCUGAUGAAGGUGAGUCGCGAGGCUUGCUGGAGGGAGCAGAAGUGAGAAUGCCGGUAUGAGUAACGAAAAGACGGGUGAAAAACCCGUCCGCCGAAAACCUGAGGUUUCCUGGGUAAAGUUAAUCUGCCCAGGGUUAGUCGGCCCCUAAGGCGAGGCCGAAAGGCGUAGUCGAUGGGAAACUGGUUCAUAUUCCAGUACCUCUUUCAGGAGUUGCCGAUGGGAUGACGCGUGAGGCAACGCCCGGCCGGAGAACGGUAGUUCCGGUCUAAGCAGCGAGGUGUCGAGGUGCGGAGGCAAAUCCCCGCGCUGAGCUGAGCUGUCAAGGCGAGUUGAUUCCUUCGGGAUGACGCGAAGCGGGUCUAGUCAAGGCGCCAAGAAAUAAUCCCUAAGGGGUGCCUGAGAGGGACCGUACCGUAAACCGACACAGGUAGGUGGGAAGAGAAUUCCAAGGCGCUCGAGAGAACCCGCGUUAAGGAACUCGGCAAAAUGCACACGUAACUUCGGGAGAAGUGUGGCCUCUGCGGGAGAAUGGUGGGCUUCGGCCUGCCGCUAUUUUGCGGGGGUUGCAGAGAAACGGCCCAGGCGACUGUUUAUCAAAAACACAGGUCUCUGCGAAUCUGUAAAGAGAAGUAUAGGGACUGACACCUGCCCGGUGCUGGAAGGUUAAGAGGAGGUGUUAGCACUUCGGUGCGAAGCUCCGAAUCGAAGCCCCAGUAAACGGCGGCCCUAACUAUAAGGGUCCUAAGGUAGCGAAAUUCCUUGUCGGGUAAGUUCCGACCUGCACGAAUGGUGUAACGAUCUGGGCGCUGUCUCAACGCGGGACUCGGUGAAAUUGAAGUAUCGGUGAAGAUGCCGAUUAUCCAUGGCUAGACGGAAAGACCCCGUGAACCUUUACUGUAGCCUGGCAUAGGCACUUGGCCUGUGAUGUGUAGGAUAGGUGGGAGGCUGUGAACUCUGGUCGUUAGGCUGGAGGGAGCCGCUGGUGAAAUACCACCCUUUACAGGUUAGGUUUCUAACGCUCGCCGUGAAACCGGCGAGUGGACAGUGUCAGGUGGGCGGUUUGACUGGGGCGGUCGCCUCCUAAAGAGUAACGGAGGCGCGCAAAGGUCACCUCGCGCUGGUUGGAAAUCAGCGUACGAGUGCAAAGGCAAAAGGUGGCUUGACUGCGAGACUUACAAGUCGAGCAGGUGCGAAAGCAGGUCUUAGUGAUCUGGUGGUUGCGAGUGGAAGCGCCAUCACUAAACGGACAAAAGGUACUCCGGGGAUAACAGGCUAAUAGUGCCCAAGCGUCCAUAGCGACGGCACUGUUUGGCACCUCGAUGUCGGCUCAUCGCAUCCUGGGGCUGGAGCAGGUCCCAAGGGUUUGGCUGUUCGCCAAUUAAAGCGGUACGUGAGCUGGGUUCAGAACGUCGUGAGACAGUUCGGUCCCUAUCUGCCAUGGGCGUUGGUUGCUUGAGAGGAGCUGCUUCUAGUACGAGAGGACCGAAGUGGACGAACCGCUGGUGUACCAGUUAUGCCGCCAGGUGUAACCGCUGGGUAGCCAUGUUCGGAAGGGAUAACCGCUGAAAGCAUCUAAGUGGGAAGCCCACCUCAAGAUUAGGCAACCCUGGCCCAUUAAGGGUCCUGAAGGUACCAGAGAGACUAUCUGGUUGAUAGGCUGGAGGUGGAAGCGCAGUAAUGCGUUGAGCCGACCAGUACUAAUUUACCGUGAGGCUUGACCAU